UACGUAGGGUGCGAGCGUUAAUCGGAAUUACUGGGCGUAAAGCGUGCGCAGGCGGUUUGUUAAGCCAGAUGUGAAAGCCCCGGGCUCAACCUGGGAACUGCGUUUGGUACUGGCAAGCUAGAGUACGGCAGAGGGGGGUGGAAUUCCACGUGUAGCAGUGAAAUGCGUAGAGAUGUGGAGGAACACCGAUGGCGAAGGCAGCCCCCUGGGCCGAUACUGACGCUGAGGCACGAAAGCGUGGGGAGCAAACAGG
rnacentral:rRNA from 1 species